AAAAAAAGGUUUAUUUGGGACGCCCGAGUGGCCCAGUGGUUCAGCACCUGCCUUCAGCCCGGGAUGUGGUCCUGGAGACCCAAGAUCAAGUCCACGUGGGGCUCCCUGCAUGGAGCCUGCUUCUCCCUCUGUGUCUCUCAUAAAUAAAUAAAAUCUUUUUUAAAAAGUUUAUUUAUUUAGGGGUUCCUGGGUGGCAGUCAGGUAAGUGUCCCGCUCUUGGUUUUCAGUUCAGGUCGUGAUCUCAGGGUCAUGAGAUCGAGCCCCGCAUCGGGCUCCGUGCUGAGCGUGGAGUCUGCUUGAGAGUCUCUCUCAGAGCACAAGUGGGAGGAGUGGCAGAGGGAGGAGGACAGGAUCUCAAGCCGCUUCCCCGCUGACCCCAGGACCCCGAGAUCACGACCUGGGCCAAAAUCAAGAGUCGACCGCUCCACCGACCGAGCCACCCAGGCGCCCUGGUACAGCUUUUUAAUAAUCACCUUUCAGAAGGGAGGCGGAUGCUGUUUGCCGUUUGACAGAAGAGCAGAAAAACACAGGACGUGAAUCACUGGUCACAAUCACUUGGAGUGUCAAGAUGGGUCCUCACAGCCAGCGGUUACUACAGACGGCAAUUUUUAAAACAGAUUAAAAAUACAGAGUCAAAUGAGAGAUUGGCCUUCUUUGGUCUUUGUUUUUGGGUAAUAGAACUGAACGAAGAGGUGUGCCAUCAGAGAAAGAAUGCGAUUCUAAAAACCUGACACAAUUGUCUACAUGGAUUCACACACUUCCUUGAUCACAGAUGUUAUUCUAUAGGUAAUUCUUGUAGAAAUCCUUGGAAAUAAUGCCGGCUUUUGUGUUUACCAAUUAACUCAUUUAGUUUGCUGUUGAAGGUUAUCUUACUUGUCUACUAGGGGACUGAGUUAUAAAAACCAAUCACCACUAAUUGCAGGAGUGGUACAGCCAUCCUGGACUUGAACCUCUUUUUCAACGCAAGAGUUCGCAAGGGACUCGAGAUACAGCAGCAGCAGGAGAAAUGAAAGGCAAGCACUGCUCGGCGCCACCAGGGCCCUGGGACUGGGCUCCCUCCCCG
rnacentral:lncRNA from 1 species